UAAUAGCUCGUAUGGGAUACUUGAAUAGAGCAUAAAAGUUACUUCUACGAAAUUAAUACUUCUUUACUUAAUUUAGUUUUUAAAGUAUACUUUAUAACUGGUUGAGUGCAAGAAGCUUUAAGUAGUAUAUAGUAAUUUAAAAUACUAACUUCUGAACGAAGUAUAGUUAUAAGUAUAAUGGGUAGAAUAUUUUUAGAAUAUUUAGGUACAGCUCGCGUAUUUAUCUGCGGAAAUUGUGAUUGCCAUUUAUCAUCUCCCAGCGAUAUAAUUUCAAAGUCUUUUCACGGAAGCCUCGGAAGAGCUUAUCUGUUCGAUAAAGUGAUAAAUGUAAGUGAAGGCCCUUUGGUCGACAGGCUAAUGACCACCGGAGUGCACACUGUAUGUGACGUACGAUGCAAAAAUUGUAAAAAAAUCCUGGGUUGGAAAUAUAAAAGAGCCCAUGAAGUUAGUCAACGUUAUAAAGAAGGAAAGUUUAUUCUUGAAAAGACACUAAUUAUUGAAGUACAAAACCAAGGCUGAAGAAGGGAGCACUCUUUUACCAAUUUUAAAUUUUCAGGGCUGUUCCUAAUACCCCUCAAAUAUAAACAAUUUCAAAACGGCAGAAUAUGAAGUCCCUUUUUUCAUUGAUAAAAAAUAAAAAGUUGUCUCCGCUUGAGUUCCAUAGAUAAAAGCAUACUUUUUA